CUCCUCAGUCCUCAGUCCUCCCCACUCUCUAACUGUAGUUUUCCCCUCCACAGUCACUCAAAAAAACAAUUCGAGGCAAAACCAAAUCCAGACACUCAGAUAAACACACUAUACUCUUUCUGUUGCUCAGUUUCUGAUUUUCUCUCUCCUAGGGUUAGGGUUAGGGUUUGGAUUCAGCUAUGGCUUCGUCUUCCUCUGAUCCUGGUUUGAAAUCGGAAGCCUGCGGUGGGGGCGGCGGUGGGGAGACGUCGGAGGCGGUGAUAGCGAACGAUCAGCUAUUACUGUACAGAGGACUGAAGAAAGCGAAGAAGGAGAGAGGAUGUACGGCCAAGGAGCGCAUCAGCAAAAUGCCUCCCUGCGCCGCCGGAAAACGCAGCUCCAUCUACCGUGGAGUCACCAGGCAUAGAUGGACUGGUCGUUAUGAGGCUCACCUUUGGGACAAAAGUACCUGGAACCAGAAUCAGAAUAAGAAGGGAAAACAAGUUUACUUGGGAGCAUAUGAUGAUGAGGAAGCUGCAGCUAGAGCUUAUGAUCUUGCUGCCUUAAAAUAUUGGGGCCCUGGCACACUCAUUAAUUUUCCAGUUACUGAUUAUACAAGGGAUCUAGAAGAGAUGCAAAAUGUCUCCAGAGAAGAAUACCUUGCAUCCCUGCGGAGAAAGAGCAGUGGUUUCUCAAGAGGAAUUUCUAAAUAUCGUGGGCUUUCCAGUCGAUGGGAACCAUUUGGUUGUAUGGCUGGAUCUGACUACUUCAACAGUAUGCAUUAUAGUACAGGCGAUGAUCCAGCAGCAGAAAGUGAAUAUUUCGCCAGUUUCUGCGGUGAAAGAAGGAUUGACUUGACAAGUUAUAUCAAGUGGUGGGGGGCCAAUAAAACUCGUCAGGCAUACACUGGGUCAAAAUCAUCGGAAGAAACAAAGCAUGCCGGAGAUAUUGGUGUCGAACUGAAAACACUGGAAUGGGAAGUUCAGCCUACCGAACCAUACCAGAUGCCACGUUUGGGUGUGCCCAAUGAAGGAAGAAAGCAUAAAGGUUCUACCGGCUCUGCCUUGAACAUCUUGUCACGGUCAGCUGCCUACAAGAGUUUGCAAGAGAAAGCAUCAAAAAAGCAAGAAAACAGCGUUGAUAAUGAUGAGAAUGAAGACAAAAAUACCAUCAACAAGAUGGACUAUGGCAAGGCAGUUGAGAAAUCCACAAGUGAUGUUGGAACCGGGAGAGUUGGAGUUGGACUAGGAAUGAGUGGGGGAUUGUCUCUUCAGAGAAAUGUCUACCCAUUGACUCCUUUCUUAUCUGCACCACUUUUGACCAGCUACAAUACUGUUGAUCCCUUAGUAGAUCCUAUUCUCUGGACGUCUCUUGUUCCUGUUCUUCCGACUGGACUUUCUCGUACAGCCGAGGGACAAUAACUGAUCCAUGAGUUAUUUGAAAACAAUUGUAAUAUUACCCCUCCAGUCCCAGGUGAUUAUUAAUGGUUACAAAGACUGAGACCAGUUCAACUUACACUCUCUUUCAUGCGGAGGAAUAACAACACAUUUCCUUUGUAUCUAAAUUUUGGUGAGAGGCGGAAAUCGGAUUUGACUUCUUCUAUCUGGAAGGGUUUAGCGAUGCACUGUGUAGCAAACAUCUCAGGAAGAGUAUGAAGAGCUCAGAGUAUGGAGAACUUAGUUUAUCUUAAGAAUGAGGAUUUUUACGUACUGUUUGCAGGCUUAUUUCUACAAAAGAACUAGGGAUAUAGAAAGGAAAUAUAAUAUAUGUCUUCAUGUUCAUAAUAACGGAGAAAUUGAAUAGGGAAAUUUUCAGGCUUUCUUGAAUAUUUUUGUACAGAAAUCAGAGGACCUAGUUGUAACAUGCACAAAUUAGAGUAUCUGCAGAUGUUGAUGUCUUAUUUUCUUAUUAGUAACAUCUCAAAUGCACUUGGCUUA